CGUGACGCCCUCAACCGUCUUCUCCGGCGCAAGGCACGCUGGGAAACGGAGGCUUCCCCUCUUCCUUCUGAGGCGUUUCUCCUUGUCCUUCCUCGCCUUUCUGCGGUUCUUUUACAGUCGGGACGAUGCAUGGGAUUCCCCCUGUGUCUUUUGUCCAGUGACAUGAAAGCAAGGGAAAAACCCUCCUUUACCCAGAAAGAUUUCAUUACUCAAAACGGACAACAGAUUUCUUUUAAAAAACACUCUUGAUUUAACACAUUUAUAAAGCUGCCUGUCGUAUAACCAAGGCUGGGCAGCCUCCGAUCCCUGGGAUGGAUAAUCUACUCAUCCCCUUGGCUCUGAAAGUGACUUUCUUGGAUUUUGCCCUUGGUUGCGAUGUCACCCUUCAGUUCUACACCACAAUAAUCAGCAGAAACCAUAAUUUCCUGGAAGGGACACAGGGCAGGUUGACCACAACAUUUGUGAUAAAGGCUUGCGAUUAUCUCAAGACGGGAAGAAGAAAACGGUAGCAAACAAUCAGCCCCCCAAUGAAAAAUAGCAUGAAGUCAACUGGGGGAAUUUGACCAGACAGCAACCGGAAGCAAAGACGAAAGAGAACAUUUGGGGAUUUUUUGAGUGGGGUGGGGGUUUAAAGCAAAGGGAUCUCCAUUGUUGGAAGAAAUAUCCUUCUGGUUCAGUUCCAAGUGGGGAGAAAGACACUUGAAACACGGAGUCUGAUUGGA